rnacentral:rRNA from 1 species
GAUGAAGGCCUUCGGGUCGUAAAACUCUGUCCUCAAGGAAGAUAAUGACGGUACUUGAGGAGGAAGCCCCGGCUAACUACGUGCCAGCAGCCGCGGUAAUACGUAGGGGGCUAGCGUUAUCCGGAUUUACUGGGCGUAAAGGGUGCGUAGGCGGUCUUUCAAGUCAGGAGUGAAAGGCUACGGCUCAACCGUAGUAAGCUCUUGAAACUGGGAGACUUGAGUGCAGGAGAGGAGAGUGGAAUUCCUAGUGUAGCGGUGAAAUGCGUAGAUAUUAGGAGGAACACCAGUUGCGAAGGCGGCUCUCUGGACUGUAACUGACGCUGAGGCACGAAAGCGUGGGGAGCAAACAGGAUUAGAUACCCUGGUAGUCCACGCUGUAAACGAUGAGUACUAGGUGUCGGGGGUUACCCCC